rnacentral:rRNA from 1 species
GGGCNGNCGCUGCUACCAUGCAGUCGACGAUGAAGCCCAGCUUGCUGGGUGGAUUAGUGGCGAACGGGUGAGUAACACGUGAGCAACCUGCCCCUGACUCUGGGAUAAGCGCUGGAAACGGCGUCUAAUACUGGAUAUGUCCCGUCACCGCAUGGUGUGCGGGUGGAAAGAUUUUUCGGUUGGGGAUGGGCUCGCGGCCUAUCAGCUUGUUGGUGAGGUAAUGGCUCACCAAGGCGUCGACGGGUAGCCGGCCUGAGAGGGUGACCGGCCACACUGGGACUGAGACACGGCCCAGACUCCUACGGGAGGCAGCAGUGGGGAAUAUUGCACAAUGGGCGAAAGCCUGAUGCAGCAACGCCGCGUGAGGGAUGACGGCCUUCGGGUUGUAAACCUCUUUUAGCAGGGAAGAAGCGAAAGUGACGGUACCUGCAGAAAAAGCACCGGCUAACUACGUGCCAGCAGCCGCGGUAAUACGUAGGGUGCAAGCGUUAUCCGGAAUUAUUGGGCGUAAAGAGCUCGUAGGCGGUCUGUCGCGUCUGCUGUGAAAUCCCGAGGCUCAACCUCGGGCUUGCAGUGGGUACGGGCAGACUAGAGUGCGGUAGGGGAGAUUGGAAUUCCUGGUGUAGCGGUGGAAUGCGCAGAUAUCAGGAGGAACACCGAUGGCGAAGGCAGAUCUCUGGGCCGUAACUGACGCUGAGGAGCGAAAGGGUGGGGAGCAAACAGGCUUAGAUACCCUGGUAGUCCACCCCGUAAACGUUGGGAACUAGUUGUGGGGUCCUUUCCACGGAUUCCGUGACGCAGCUAACGCAUUAAGUUCCCCGCCUGGGGAGUACGGCCGCAAGGCUAAAACUCAAAGGAAUUGACGGGGACCCGCACAAGCGGCGGAGCAUGCGGAUUAAUUCGAUGCAACGCGAAGAACCUUACCAAGGCUUGACAUACACGAGAACGGGCCAGAAAUGGUCAACUCUUUGGACACUCGUGAACAGGUGGUUGCAUGGGUUGUCGUCAGCUCGUGUCGUGAGAUGUUGGGUUAAGUCCCGCAACGAGCGCAACCCUCGUUCUAUGUUGCCAGCACGUAAUGUGGAACUCAUGGGAUACUGCCGGGGUCACUCGGAGGAAGUGGGGAUGACGUCAAAUCAUCAUGCCCUUAUGUCUUGGGCUUCACGCAUGCUACAAUGNCCGGUACAAUGGNCUGCNAUACCGUAAAGGGUGGAACGAANC